UACGUAGGGUGCAAGCGUUGUCCGGAAUUAUUGGGCGUAAAGGGCUCGUAGGCGGUCCAUCACGUCGGGAGUGAAAAGCUGGGGCUUAACCCCAGUCCUGCUUCCGAUACGGGUGGACUAGAGGUAGGCAGGGGAGAACGGAAUUCCUGGUGUAGCGGUGAAAUGCGCAGAUAUCAGGAGGAACACCGGUGGCGAAGGCGGCCAUCUGGACGGAUACUGACGCUGAGACGCGAAAGCUAGGGGAGCAAACAGG
rnacentral:rRNA from 1 species